UUGGCAGUUAGAAUUUGAGACAAGGACCAUCUUGGUGGAUUGGAGGAGGAGGAUUUUUUCUCUUUUCCUCUCUCCCAUCAGCAGUAGUAUUCUAUAGUAGAGCUUUCUGCCCAAAACAAGACAUCAUAUUCAGCAGGGAUCUCACAACCUGAAGUAAAACAAUCACAGAGAAUUGAGGGCAGUAAGCAGCUUUAAGGAGCAUGGCCUCUGACAGCAGAGAAGAGUAUCAACAAUGGAUUCAAGGAUUAAUUAGCCCUGGCAGUGGAGAACUGAACUCUAGGGAAGAGCAGACCCAAGGAGCCCAGAUGAAUGAGCCGCCCUACAAAGCUACUGUGAUUUUCUUUGAACAUGUGUUCCCUAAAUAUGAAACCAGGAUGUCAAGAUGGAGUUGUGAAUGUUGAAGAGGAACUAAGCUUUCCUACCACAUAUACUAUAGUGAAAGAAAACCACAGAAACAGAAGUGAGCUCUUCAACUCAGUGAAGAAUUGUACAAUAAGAUAACCAGAACAUAGUUGAAGAUGAGUUUGUAUCAUGAAACUUGCACAAGUCCCAGAGAUUAAAAAAAAUGCCAUGUAAGGGAAAAUAUGAGUAAGCAGGAAACAUCCCACCAAACACAAUAAAGAAAUAAAUGGAUUAAGAGAAA